CGCUCCGCGCUCGGGUGUUCGCGCACCAGUUCUAGUCCCUCCGGGCGCCGUUUUGGUGUGCGCAUGCGCAGCGCCGGGAGCAGCGUGAUGGCGAAUAGGGUCAGGGUCCCGGCAGCGGCGGCAGCAGGAAUGUUUAGUGAUGGUGGUUGGUGCUGGAGCUCACCUGGCAUGCAAGGAACUGAGACGGAUUGGAUGCUAAUACUCUUUGUGAAGAAGCUGCAGUUUCUGCAGUCUGCCCAGAUACUGACAGAGAUUCUUAAGAGAUGCUUUCCGGACUCAUUCCACGAAGAAUGGUGUGCUAACCGAAGAAUGGUGUGCUAACCGUGGCAAAUCAGACUACAUUCAAAGAUGGAAGAGGCAAAACAAGAAAUGUAACCGAUCUCAGGGAAGCUGCAGACAGCAUCAAUAAUGUCCUGGAUACAAGAUAAGUUGGAGUAAGAAGUUUUGAAGACUGCCAUUUCUUGGUACUGGAUUUUAAUGUAAGAUUCUAAUGGGUAUUUUUAUGUUUUCCCAAACUCACUUUGGAGUGUGUAGGGAAUUGAAAAAUAGAUCGCAUAUGUGUUUGUUACCAAACCUACUUUUAAACUCUGCUGUAAUGUUGUUAUGGAUCUGUGCAUGAGGUAAGGAUAGCGCAGCAUACAUGCGUACAGUAUGGUCUGGAGUAGCUUUUUAAUAUCCUACCAGGCAGGACCCAUCAGCGUGGUAAUUCCAAAACUAAAAAAAUCUUAAUUAAGAGACUUUGAAACCAAUUACAGUUGCUAGAUGUCAUUAGUAUCUGUAUAAAACACAUCCCAAUUUCCAAAUUGAUACUAGCAAGAUGUAGUUAAAGUCAUUAUAACACAUAUAUCCAAUCUAACUCCAUAAAUCCAGUGUAGCAGGCAAAGGAGCUUAAAGAACAAAAGCUACUGAAGAGUUAGCUUUAUCUUGCAAUUAUUACUCAAUAAUGAGCAAUUAGUAAAAAUGCAGCACCAAAACAAAAGAAGUAGCUAUUUUGCUGAAACAAGCAUGUAAGUAUAUGUGCAUAAACGGCUGUUCUCUCUAGAUCCCUUACUGAAAUCAGGCUUAUAGUGCAGACUCUUUCAAAGGAGAUACUGCUCAAUAGAUGGGCUGGAGAGAGAGCUGACCAUUUUGUGAAGAGAGUUUCUCAAUACUGAAGCCAGUUUCCACAUUUCAAAGAGGAUACUUUCAUAAGGAAUUGUUGUUACUUUUAAAGUAGGUGGAUAGAAUUUUCCUCACACUUUUUCACCAAAUGACAGCAUGCAUCCAAUGAUUUCUGGGCAAACAUAUUAAAGUGCCAGAAUUUGGGUGAUGACAGUGAAGGCCUGAUGGUGAAAGGAGGAGGGAUUAAAAAUGAGAUGUGGAAUUUCUCUCUUCUUUUUAUCUUACUCCCUGCCAGAACAGGGGAGACUGAGAUGAGCUCUUAGGCAGAAGCUCUUCCCUGUGAGGGUGCUGAGGCGCUGGCACAGGGUGCCCAGAGAAGC